rnacentral:lncRNA from 1 species
UACCACAAGCAACCACAUACAUAAUAUUUGAUUACAUUUUAACCAAAUACAAAUAAGCUAAACUAUUACAUUCAUUUUGCUUUCAUUCAUAAUUUCUAUACAUCAUAAUCAUCCAACCCAAAAUACAUGAUUGUUUACCAUUUUUACAUCUCUUGAUCAACAAAAUAAAAGUUGAUACAUGAACAAAAGGGAAUGACUAAAAUGUAAAUACUUCGAUGGUCACUAGCUAUGGCGCUAUACCCUUGCCUCGAUCCUCCGCCGCCCCGCUCGUGCUCGGAUCUGUAGGGUUAGUGGUAUGAGAACUACAACGAAAUUCCUAGUGGGGUCAGCCGCCAACCUCGCCGACUUACCCACUAGGUCUAUUUAGACAUAAGUAUUUCAAAGAAAGAAAAUAGCAAACCAUACUAAUGUUAAUACUAUGCCUGCAAGAAAACUGUGAACAGAUAGAUAAUCAUAUGUAUGAUAAAUAUACAUGCAUGCGCUUUCCACAAUAUACCUUGGCUUUUACCCAAUCAUACCGGUUAACCUUGUUAACCCCAAUAACUCAUAACCCAAAAUUUCUUAAUAACGGGGGACUCGAACUACCCUAGGGACCGUCUUCUGGGGGGACUUUACCUCGCCCAGUGGUGACCAACUCCGAAGCGCACCGCUCGAGGGGGAACUACCUCCCUCAAGCAAAGAUUCAAUGUGACUAUGGAUCCAAUCCUCAACUUGAAGGCGUAUAGCCACUAGCCAUAAUGCCACUAUAUCAAUGAUAGAUUUCUACCUUAUCAUAUUUGCCACUCUCUAGGCUACACUUGCCAUAAUGUCACUAUUGUUUAAACUAUAUUUAACAAUUCAUAUCUCAAUGCCAAUCUUGUCUCUAUUGUCAAUGCCACCUUUGUUUACUAUUAUCAUAGUCCAAUGUCACAUUCACACAAGUAUAGGGAUCCAACAUACAUGUCUUUUUUGGUUCUUUAUAAAUCACUAUGUUCAUUUAUGUUAGAAGCAUAAUAUUGAAGUUCUAACCAUUAUUCACAUGCCAACUACCCUAUCAUACAUGAAUGACACUAUUCACAUAUAUGCUCAAUAAAAGGUAACAUAGACAUAGAAGGGAAUCCGAUGAUUCCGGAAGGCACCCCCUACCUAGUAUGGUAGCAAAGGUGUUGCGGUUCGAAUUUGGUGAUUUUUGGAUGUCUAUUCCGCGUGCUGCAGCAAUCUGUACCAAAAUGAAGCCAAAUUAGGCUUUUCACUUAAUAUCUUUACGUAGACUUUUCGUUUCGCCGAACCGAGUUUUUCCAUGCAUUAGGAAUGCUCCCAAUUAGGUUUCUACAAGGUCAAUUUAACUUGAAACCAACCUAGGGCAAAAGCCCCAAUUUUGGUGCCAUAACAAUGUCAUUGUCACGCCUCGAGCCCCGCCUAUUUGGUCGGGUUCGGACGCGCCGACAGACCGCCGAAUGGACAGAGUUUUUCCUGUAUGCCCUAGGCGUCGCAAUCAAUACAAUUACAAGAGGUUCCAAACUGGAACAGUAUUCAUACAACAAUUGCAUAAGGAAGUAUCAAAAACAUAACACAUAUGUUAUUACAACCAUUCACAUUUCAUGCAUUUUUACAACUCAAUUACAAUUCCUUUUCAUCCAAAUGCAAUUAAGUUACUACAUCAUUUAUUUACAAGUUUGAAUACAUCUUGUUCUUUUCAUUUCCCUCUACCCCUAGGAUAUGUCGAUUCGGGGUACUGCUAUCUUUGGUCUUUAUGGUAGGGCGCUAUCUACGGAGCUACGCCCUUUCCUCGCGCCGCUACGCCGCUCACUUGCGAACAUGUAACACCCCAAAGCAACGUGGGGUGAGAACCAACUCCAUGGUUCCUAGUGGGUACGGCCACCUAAAGAAAAAGCUCGACCAACAAGUCCAAAGGAGGCAAACUGCAGGUUAGUUUAAUAAACAGAUAGAUAUGAUAUCUAGAGUAUGCAACUAAUAAAACCAUGCUUUGCCUCACAACAUGCAAUAUGAACGUGCUAUAUGCAAAUCAUGCAAUAAUGCAACUAUGCCACUAAUUAGUAGUUCAUUCGAUACUACUUCCAAUCCUACUAACCAUAGUUCAUCCAAUUGACUUCUGUGUUUUCCUCUAUCUUAGAUUUCUGUCAAUCUCAAUUCUAUUCAUAAGGUUUUGUCUACCUUUACAAGCUAUCCAUCCGACUCGGUCUUGAGUCAAUCAUCUACGGAGUACCGCACAAAGCCAGGCUCGAGGCGAAGGACAUCUCACUUGCAUCUCAGCCUUAAAUCCACUCAACUAGGAUACCGAAUCCACUCUAUAGCUCAUGUACUUAUCAACCAAUCACUUGGCUAACUCGAAAGUUUGCCUCCAACUCACGUCUUAAAGUCUCAUAGGGGAGGAGUCUUUAAACGCUCGGCUACCCCCGAGACCGCCUGCGGACAGGUGCGUUAGUCCAUGGGCAAGUACGUUAGCCCCUUCAUGUGACAAAACUCCCGAGUGCACAGCUUGUGUGGAGCGACCACGACAAGCGCAGACAGGCUAUGUGAGUAUGAUCCAAUCCUCGCCAACUGAGGAUACCCUGUCAACUAGGGUCAUUAUCAACAUGGAAUCAAUGUGUUCCUAUACUCAUCAUCCUAGUGUUUCAACUACACUAAGUUCUUUUAUCAUACAUCAUGACCUAUGUCAAGUGUCUCAUCUGUACUAGGUCCCAUGCCACUCAUCACACAACCUAGGUUUAAUUAACUCUAGGUUCAAUCCACAACCUAUGUUCACGACACUAGGUUCAAUGCCAUUUGAUCUAUUCGAUAUCUAAUUGUCAACAUCGAGUUUCUAUAAACAUCCACAUUAUCAACAUGCAUAUUAUACUUAGCCUUUUCUCAUUAUGUCACUAUGCUUCCUUCUAGCAUGUAGGUUAACAUGUCAUAUGCAAAUAACAUCUAGCAUAUAUUUCAACAUAGCAAUUUGCCAUUAUCAACUAGCAUGCAUUUCUAAUGCAUCAAUAUGCAACUAUCAACUAGCAUAUGGUAGAAUUAUGUCAACAAGUUGUUGAUGGUGGCUUACGUUUGGGUACUACCGUGUCGACCUUGGGUCGAGUCGAGAUUCCAUGUCAGAGACAUGAUGACGUUGUGAUAUUUGUACCAUAGAUUACGGCUUGCAUGCCAUUGUGCUCUUUCGUGCAUACUUGUGGGGGUCACGCCCCCCCAAGCCAGCGUUCCGGUGUGGCUUAGCGACAGAUUGCUCGCUUAUGUAUGAAGUGAGCGCCAAAAUGGAUUGUCGUGGGUAGUGUUAACUCCCACGGGGCCAUUAGGCGCGGCACAGGCCAGACAGCCUUCGGGUGGGUCUUCAUGCCAGAUAGCCUUCGGGUGGGUCUUCAGGCCAGACAGCCUUCGGGUGGGUCUUCAUGCCAGACAGCCUUCGGGUGGGUCUUCAUGCCAGACAGCCUUCGGGUGGGUCUUCAUGCAAGACAGCCUUCGGGUGGGUUUUACAAGAUUCAAACUUUGAGUAGUUAAAUGACGAGUGAACUUGUUGAUGAACAAACUAGACAAUUGACAUCUUGAUGUUAGUGACAUAGUGACGGUAUGUUACACUUUUACGGGUGUAGGAAGUAAUUACAUGAUAUCAUCAGUUAUUUUGUAAUGAUGUAUAAUCUGGCAUAUGAUUAGUCAAAUACCUAAUGACAGCAUGUUUCAUUAGUGCCAAUGUAGACCUCAAUUAUCAGUGAUUUCAGUGAACCUGAAUUAUCUCGCAUAUUUUUUAGCAUAUGACUAGUUAAAUUGUUAAAUAACAUGAAUGGCAGAAGCUAUCAUGACAAACUAGUAUCUACACCUGUGAUAUAUAUAUUUACUUUUGAGCAAAUAGCAUGAUCGGUUUACUUUCAUACCUGUUGCAUUUAUUUGCUUAUUUAUUGCUAUUUACGCAUGCUACAGUUGACCUAGUGGUGUACUUCGCCACUCUCGGCGGCUUACCCACUGGGAACUAUUGUUUAAUAGUUCUCACGCCCUCUUUGUUGUUGUUUUUACAGAGCCUUCCACAGCGAGAAAGGCAAGGGUUACUGGCGAGGGGUCAGGGGCUAGCUAGAGCCUCUAGACGUUUACUAGACAACCUUUAUCAGUUUAUAUAGUUUAGUCCAAUGAUGUAUAUUAGAUCAUGUAAAUUGUACUUUGUUCUUAUCUUUUGUAAUAAGAUUUUGGGUUGUAUAAGUUAAACUUUUAGGCUUUGCCCUGAUUAUCUGGUUAGAAUCGAAUGCUUUUACUCUAGUGAUUGUAGACGCCUGGUGUAUACUUGAGUUGCGGUGUACACGGCGGGUCUGUACACGCGACAGGUGAGCUUCCGCUGAAAUCUAGGGUGUGACAUCAAGGCUGUACCGCUACAAAAUGUGUUUCGAUACAACCAUCAAGGCUGUACCGGUACACAGCCUUGCUGAGGCAACUCGAGAGCUAACUAACUAAUCGAAUCUUUUGGAUUUUGGUGCCAAGUUUAAAACCUCAAUUCUCGGGAUGCGAGGCAUGGGUCGGAACACUAUCUACGACCCUCCAGAAACUGUGGAAAGGCUUAGAACACAGAUCAAAUACUCGAACCUCGCAAUUUGCAAAGGUCCAGUGUGUUACAAAGGCCCUUCUCCAAGCUUGCUCCUCCUUCUUCUCCUUCUUCUUCUACUUCCUUUCCUUCUUCUCCUUCUCUACUUCAAGAGAAAGGGAGAGAGAGUGUUUAGAGAGAGAGAGGGAGAGAGAUAUGCUUGGUUGGGUGAGAAAAUGGGAGGGAGAGAGAGUAAUCUCCCCUCUAUACCCCUCACUAAUGCAAUAAUUGCAUCCAAGCCUCUCAACUUUGCUUCUUUCAAACUGCUCAAACUGGGCAAUUUUCGUGCUUCGGGACCGGUCUGUCCCUCGAGGGACCGGUCCCCGAGAGCACCCUUUGCGGGCAGAGGACUCUGCCACCCUUCUACGCGUAUGGGGACCGGUCUCUCCCGCUAGGGACCGGUCCCCGUGAGCAAAAUUGGUGCGUAGCGUUUUCUGCCACCCCCCAAGCUUACGAACACCGGUUCUUCCCACCAGGGAACGGUCCCCGAGAGCAAAACUCAUGCGCAGAGCCUCCCUGCCGCACCUUCUACUGACGGGGAGCUGACCGGUCUCUCCCACCAGGGACUGGUCCCCGAGAGCAAUUUCUCCCAAGUGCAGAUUUUUGCACAACUUGCUCUCGCGGGUCUGUUGCAAUGCACUUUUUGGGUUUUCGACUUCUUCGGCUUUUUCGAAGCAUACCCACUCGAUAACUAGUCAAUUCUGAGCGAAGUCCAACUCUCGGAUUUCGAGAAUUCACCUCCUUACAACCUGCUUCUCUGGGUCAGAGUCAGGGGACUCCAUCUACCCACUACUAGGUCAGGCGACCGCCUAUUCUGCGACAGAUUGAGGGAUCGCGGUAGGCACCUGGCGAGCGCAUAUAUGCAGCCCAGACCGAGAAAACAGGGUAGAGGCAGCGACAACGGAGAAGGUCAUUGCAAGUAUCAUUUUAAUUAAUGACAUCCAAGUUGGAGCAUUAUUUGAUAUCAAUGCAUCACAUUCAUUCAUUGAUCGGCUAUUUGCUGAGCUGCAUGGCACUGAGCUUGUACCUACCUUGUAUCCGGGAUGAGUUGUUGUUCCUAAUCAUACCUUGGACAUUCGAGAGUUUUGCCCUUAUUGCCCUGUUAGGGUAGGGAAUUGGAUUAUGCCCAUUGAUUUGUUGGCCAUACACAAGCUUGAAGAGUUUGAUGUAGUGUUGGGUAUGGAUUGGCUCACGAGAUAUUAUGCUACCAUUGACUGUAAGAACCGGGUUGUGAUUUUUCGAGAACCUAGACAUGACGAGGUGGUGUAUAGAGGAUGCAAGAGUUCGCUGUUUGCGAUGACUAUCUCUUCUGUACGGGCUAAGCAAUUGCUAAAGAGAGGUUACGUAGACUUCCUAGCUAGCAUCGUUGUGAGGGAUGGAGAUGUCCCUAGGAACAAGGAUAUUCCGGUCGUACGGGAGUUUGUGGAUGUGUUUCCGGUUGAGUUACCGGGUAUGCCUCCUAAUAGGGAGAUUGAGUUUGUAGUAAAUUUUAUACAUAGAACUUCCCCAAUUUCAAAAGCACUUUAUAGGAUGGCGCCUGCUGAACUUAGAGAAUUGAAGGUGCAGUUGCAAGAUUUGUUGGACAAAGGGUUCAUCAGACCAAGUGUAUUAUCUUGGGGAGUGCCAGAUUUGUUUGUUAAGAAGAAUAAUGGAUCAUUUCGCUUGCGUGUGAAUUAUCAUGAGCGUAAUAUGAUCACGAUCAAGAACAAGUUUCCAUUAUCGAGGAUUGAUGAUUUAUUCGAUCAACUUCAAGGAUUAAGAGUAUAUUCCAAGAUUGAUGAUAUCAUCAACUCAAGAUCAAGUUUGAGAAUAUUCCCAAGACGGGUUUUUGAACACGGUAUGGACAUUAUGAGUUUACAGUUAUGCCGUUUGGGCUUACUAAUGCUCCGACAACUUUUAUAGAUCUAAUGAACCGUGUAUUUAAGCCAUAUUUAGAUAGGUUUGUCGUGGUGUUCAUCGACGAUGUAAGGGAAGCGAAUUCUCGAAAUCUGAGGAUUAGGCUUCGCUAAGAAUCGACUGAUUGUCGAGCAUGUAAGCUUCGGAAAGUCCGAAGGUGAUCAUAAUGCAUGAAGUGCAUUGAGGAUCGGGUCGAGCUACCUUGGCCAGGGAGGGACGGUCCCUGGCCAGGGGCUCUCGUAAAGACGAGGUCACGACAAAAACGUGACCACGAGAGCGCCUGUAANNNNNNNNNNNNNNNNNNNNNNNNNGGCACGCGAGGGGGCCAGUGUAGUGCCCUUGGACCAGUGUAGUGUCCGCAGGCGGUCUCGGGGUAGGUGAAUAGCUAGCCACCUCUCCUAUGAGACUUAGAGACGUGAGACUGUGAGCGAACCUUGCGUUCGCCGAGAGAUUGGGUAAUCAGAUAAGUGACCUUGUUGUUGAACAUGGUAGUAUGAUAGCCAGCCUUUUGUUAUGAGUUUCAUGCAUGCAUCUUACUGGAUUGAGGCAUUGAUAGAUUAUAGUUGCUUAUUGCUGUAUCGCUUUCAGUUUCUUAUAUCUAUCUAUCUGCAUAUCUAUCUGUGCCUGCUUAAGACCUAGUGGGGAGAUCGGCGGAGUCGGCGGCCGAACCCACUGGGAACUAUUCGUAGUUCUCACUCCACCACAUUGCAGGUCCGAGCUCGAGCGUCCCGGGAGAGGAUCGCGACAAGGGCGUAGCGCCCUAGUGGUUUAUGUUUUAGUUAGCUCUCCUCCUUUCGCAUUAGCCCUACCCUGUAUUUAUGUUUGAGCGUAGAUGAUGUAUAGGGUGAGGUUGAGAGAAUUGUGUAUACAUUGUACAGUUUUAAAAGAAUACAAGUUGUAAUAAAUGUAUAAAGUUAAACAGAUCAAUAGAUAAGUACAUCUCUCUUUUAUCACUUGUACGCCUUACAUGUGUUGCUUGCUCUUGAAUGAUAGGCACUGAUUGUGCUCUCGCGGUUGUUAAAUGAUUGUGUAUGUAUUCAAGUUUGUUUUCCUGGGAACUUGUGGUACACAAUCUUGUUGUUGGCGCCUGGGGCGAACAGGGUAGGUGCUGUCCGUUCGGCGGUCCAUUCGCCGCGCCCGAACCGUGCCAAAUUGGUAGCGGCCUCGGGGCGGGGGCGUGACAGUUGUGGUAUCAGAGCAAGUAAGAGCAAGCGAAAGACAGAGAGAGUCUAGGGCUGACCUAGGGGACUCUAGAAUGGUAAACCAUAAGGUUAUAGGUGCGUGAGUGCGACGUGAACCUAUGACGCGACGGAAGUUGAUCGAUUGGGUCGAAGUGGGGUNAACCAUAAGGUUAUAGGUGCGUGAGUGCGACGUGAACCUAUGACGCGACGGAAGUUGAUCGAUUGGGUCGAAGUGGGGUUGAUGCUCUAGUAGUUGCUAGAGAUCAAUUGAGUGAUACUAGUCCUUGGCUUAAGGCGAUUGUGUUGGCGGCCGACAACACAAUGCCGAGAGUCAAGAACGGGUACACUCGUGAGCUUCCGUCUGAUUUGUUUAAUUAAGUUGUGUCGUUUCGUAAUUGCGAAGAAGUUGUUGGGUUAGGUAAUUGACCGAUUGUUUGCGUUUCAGGAGCUAAUGGCACCGAAGAGACGCUAUGUGCGUAGGACUGCUCCGGCACCACCCCCAGGGGUGCCCGAGUCAGCUGUGCCCCCGGCGGCGCCAGAGUCAGCUGGGCCUAGUGAGGUGCAAGAGUUGCGGGCACAGGUUGCUGCAUUGGCAGGGCGGUUCGAUCGGCUCCAGGAGCUUAUGGAGCGUCAGGCUGCGGCGGCGGCUGCGGCAGUCGGACAAGGCUGUGACCCGCCUGCGCCUUCGGUUCGCGCCCCCAAUGCGGCCGAGGGUGUGGGUGAUGCGCCGGUUCCGGUGGCGGCGCAACCCCCACCGGUGGAUAUUCCUCCUGCGGCGUCGAGGUCUCCUACGCCUAGAGCGGCGGCUGAGGAGGCGGAGCGAGAGCGUGGCUACACGGCUCUCACAAGGUUUACGAAGUUCCACCCGCCUACGUUCGACGGAGAAGUGAUAGAUCCUUGGACGGUGGAGACAUGGUUGGCCUCGAUGGAGACCCUGUUCGAGGAUAUCUAUACAGAGGAGCGGGACAAGGUUAAUUUGGCCGCUCAUUGCUUUGAUAAGCGGGCCAGGGUGUGGUGGAAGAGAGUAAAGCAGGAUCGAUCUCCGGAUCUUCCCCCGAUCGAUUGGGAGGAGUUCCGAAGAUUGAUGUUCGCGGAGUACUUUCCCGAUAGCGAUAAGAGAAAGAUGCGGGAAGACUUCAGGAAGCUUAAGCAAGGCAACCGCACAGUUCGGGAGUAUGAGCGGGAGUUCACACAUCUUUUGAACUGCGUCCCGGACGUGGCGACAACGGAGCAAGACCGAGCAGAUUGCUUCGUGAGAGGACUCCGACCCGGCGUGUUUCGGAUGGUGCAUGCCUUCAAGUUUCAUACUUUUGCGGAGGCUUUGGACCGCGCCUUAUGGGUCGAGCACGGGAACGCCUGCGAGCGUGAGGACCGUGAGGCGUUCGAGAAGGAUAAAGGGAAGAAGCGACCGGGCGGUGGUUCGGGGGGACAGUCGAGUUCGAGAAGGCCCCCGAAGUAUCCACGAUCGCAACCGAAGGGCCGUGGAGCGCAGCGAUGUAUCUUUUGCGGCGGUGACCAUCGACCCAGUAUGUGUGAUCAGCGCCGAGGAAAGUGUUUUAGAUGCGGGCAAGCAGGGCACAUCGCACGCGACUGCCCUCAAGGAGGGGCUUUACCUGCUCAGUCUGUUGCAUCGGCCCCGGCAAUUCCGGCUCGUUAUGCCAUGCCACCUGCUGCGGCGUCGGCUGGGCGUGCGGCGGCACCACGUCAACCUGAACCUGCACGAUCGGCUCCGAGUGGAAGGAUGUAUGCCGCUCAAGUGCAAGAAGAGGAGCCCGUUGAAGCCGAGGAGCGCAACGUAGUGGCAGGUAUGGUUUUGGUUAAUGGUGUUCGAGCAAGAGCUCUUUUUGAUACUGGCGCGUCUCACUCCUUCAUUAACCGAUCGUUUGCACAAGUGCAUGAUAUUGAGAUUAGUCUCGGGGAGAGUGUGUGGCGUGUAGAAGGACCCGGACGAGCCUUCCUUGUUAGGAAGCGGUGUUUGGCGUGCCCAGUACAAGUAGGUGACUGGAUUAUGCCGGUCGACCUGUUGGUGCUAAAGAGGUUAAAGGAGUUCGAUGUCAUUUUAGGCAUGGACUGGCUCUCGAAGUAUUAUGUGUCUAUCGACUGCAAGACUAGAGUGAUCACAUUUCGGGAGCCGGGACACGAGGAGUUCAUGUAUCGAGCUUGCAAGAGUUCGUGCUUCGCCGCGACGGUGUCGGCGACAAGAGCGAGGAAGCUAGUCAAUAGCGGUUGCAUGGCUUACUUGGCGACCGUUAUGGAAGUCGACCGAGUAGUGCCGGCUCUGGAGGAGUUGGAGGUUGUGCGAGAGUUUCCGAAUGUGUUUCCGGCAGAGCUACCGGGGAUGCCGCCGGACCGGAAAAUCGAGUUCAUGAUAGACUUGCUUCCCGGGACUGCGCCGAUAUCUAAGGCCCCGUAUCGCAUGGCACCAGCUGAGUUAAGGGAGUUGAGGGAUCAGUUGCAGGAUCUUCUCGACAAGCAGUUCAUUAGGCCGAGUGUGUCACCGUGGGGAGCCCCGGUAUUGUUCGUGCGCAAAAAGGAUGGAUCUUUUCGACUUUGCGUGGAUUACCGCGAGUUGAAUAAGGUCACUGUGAAGAACAAGUACCCGUUACCCCGCAUCGAUGACUUGUUUGAUCAGUUACAGGGGUCGCGAGUGUACUCGAAGAUUGACCUUCAAUCCGGAUACCAUCAGUUGAAGAUUAAGCCAGAGGAUGUUUCGAAGACCGCGUUUCGCACGCGGUACGGGCACUACGAGUUUACCGUGAUGCCGUUUGGGCUUACAAAUGCCCCGGCUGCAUUCAUGAGCCUGAUGAACCGAGUGUUCAAGGAGUGCUUAGACCGAUUUGUCGUAGUCUUUAUAGACGACAUCUUGGUCUAUUCGCGUGACGAGGAGGAGCAUGCGGAGCAUUUGCGUACCGUACUUCAAAUCCUUCGGGAGAAGAAGCUGUACGCAAAGCUGAAGAAGUGUGACUUCUGGCUCCGGGAAGUUGCUUUUCUCGGGCAUGUUGUUUCCGAGGGCGGUGUUUCUGUUGACCCGAGGAGAGUAGAGGCUAUUGAGAAUUGGCCACGCCCAACGAAUGUUGCUGAGGUCCGAAGUUUUGUGGGCCUGGCAGGUUAUUACCGACGGUUUGUGGAGGGUUUCUCGAAGAUCGUAACUCCACUCACCCGUUUGACGCAGAAAGGCACCAGAUUUGUUUGGAGCGACGAGUGUGACCGGAGUUUUAAGGAGCUGAAGGAAAGAUUAACUUCAACUCCAGUACUCGCCUUACCGGUGCAGGGUGAUGAUUAUGUGGUGUAUAGUGAUGCAUCCUAUCUGGGUUUGGGUUGUGUGCUGAUGCAAGGCGGGAGGGUCAUUGCUUAUGCAUCCCGUCAGUUGAAAAGCCAUGAGAAGAACUACCCCAUACAUGAUUUGGAAUUGGCGGCGGUGAUCUUUGCUUUGAAGCUUUGGAGACACUAUCUAUAUGGCGCUCAUUGCGAGAUCUACACCGACCAUAAGAGUUUGAAAUACUUGUUCACCCAGAAGGAGCUGAACAUGCGGCAACGGCGGUGGUUGGAGUUGCUUAAGGAUUACGAUGUUGAUAUCCUCUACCACCCCGGAAAAGCGAACGUGGUCGCGGAUGCACUUAGUCGGAAGUCGGCGGAGAACCUCGCUCUGUGGAUUACCAAUCAGACGCCCCUACAGUUGCAAAUGGGGAGAAUGGAUCUUGAGGUGGUGGCUCCGGAAAUUCCGACUAGGUUGAUGACGUUGGUGGUCCAACCCACUUUGUUGGAGAGGAUCAAGGAUUUACAAUCUGCGGACCCGAAUCUCCAGAAGGUGCGGCACAAUGUUGAAAGUGGCCGUGGCGGCGAUUUCAGUGUGGAUGCUAGUGGUGCACUACGGUUUCGAAACCGGUGGUGUGUGCCAGAUGAUGAGGAGCUUCGCAAGUUGAUUUUAUAGGAAGCGCAUUGGUCUCCUUAUGUCGACCACCCGGGCGGCACCAAGAUGUUUCACGAGCUGAAGACACUAUACUGGUGGCCGGGAAUGAAGACUGAUAUUGGGCGCUUCGUAGCGAAGUGUCUAGUAUGCCAACAGGUGAAGGCGGAGCGCCGGUUUCCAGCGGGGAAGCUGCAAAGUUUAUCUAUUCCCGUCUGGAAAUGGGAUGACAUAUCGAUGGAUUUCAUCGUCGGCUUACCUCGUUCGACGGGUGGCCACGACGCGAUUUGGGUAAUUGUGGAUCGCUUGACGAAAUCAGCGCACUUUCUGCCGAUCCACAAUACUUGGGCAGGUGAUAAGCUCGCGCAAGUAUACCUCGACGAGAUUGUGAGGUUACAUGGGGUGCCGAAGUCGAUUGUAUCAGAUCGAGACCCCAAGUUCACUUCACACUUUUGGAGAAGCCUGCAGGAAGCCCUUGGCACGCGACUCGAGUUCAGUACCGCCUUUCAUCCUCAGACUGAUGGGCAGACAGAGAGAACCAUUCAGACCCUGGAGGAUAUGUUGCGGGCGUGUGCCAUUGAUUACAAGGGGAGUUGGUGUAAGCACCUGCCGAUGGCCGAGUUCGCCUACAACAAUAGUUAUCACGCGAGUGUGGGGAUGGCACCGUUCGAGGCUCUUUAUGGGCGGAAGUGCCGAUCUCCCAUUCAUUGGAGUGAUGUGGGCGAGCGGGCGGAAUUCGGUCCCGACGUGUUGCGAGAGGCGGAGGAGAAAGUCCACCUUGCUCGCAAGAGAUUGCUCACGGCGCAAUCUCGACAGAAGAGUUAUUCGGAUAAGCGCCGUAGAGACUUGGAAUUCGCGGUGGGUGACCGCGUCUUCUUGAAAGUUUCGCCGAUGAGAGGCGUGAAAAGGUUUGGGGUGCGAGGGAAGUUGAGUCCUCGUUAUAUUGGCCCCUACGAUCUUGGAGCGGAUUGGGACGGUGGCUUACCGGCUUGUGUUGCCACCCAAGCUUGCGGGUGUGCACAAUGUGUUCCACGUCUCCAAUCUCCGCAAGUACGUACAUGAUCCUGAGCACGUCUUGGUCUACGAGCCGCCGGAACUGCAAGAAGACAUGAGCUACAAGGAGUUUCCGGUGGAGAUUCUAGCUCGGGAAGUGCGCAAGUUGAGAAGUCGUGAAAUUCCCUAUGUUCGAGUCCGGUGGAGCAAUCAUGGUGAUCGCGAAGCCACCUGGGAGCUCGAGGAGGAGAUGAGAGCGAAUCAUCCUCACUUAUUUGAGGACUGAGCUAAGGUAUGAGUUUAGAGUUUAAAUUCUGGACGAAUUUAAUGUCGUUGAGUUCGUUUCGAGGACGAAACUCUUUUAUGGUGGGGAGAAUGUAAGGGAAGUGAAUUCUCGAAAUCCGAGGAUUAGACUUCGCUAAGAAUCGACUGAUUGUCGAGCGUGUAAGCCUCGGAAAGUCCGAAGGUGAUCACAAUGCAUAAGGUGCAUUGAGGAGGUGUCCGCGAGAGCCCCAGUGAAAAAGCUGCACUGGAGCAGAAAUGCUCUCGGGGACCGGUCCCUAGCAGGGAGGGACCGGUCCCAUCAGGCUGGGCUGCGAGGGUCUCUGAUGAGACCGGUCCCUGGCCGGCAGGGACCGGUUCCCGAAUGUUGGCCCAGCGUGAGGAGCCGAAAUUUGGCUAAGUCCCAGAGGUAUUGCUCUCGGGAACCGGUCUCUCGGACAAGGACCGGUCUCCCGGGGACCGGUCUCUCAGGCAAGGACCGGUUCCCGAACGCGAAAUCCCCUCUGCCUUGUUGUGCAGCUUUCGGGGACCGGUCUCCCCGAGCAGGGACCAGUCCCUCACUGCGAAAAUGGCCCAGGGAGGGCUGUUUCAGGAAAUGAAAAGUUGAGGGGGCUAGUUGCAAAAUGGCCUAUAUGAGGGCUUGGGGACCCCUCUCUCUCCCUCAGUUGCUCUCUCCCUCUCUCACACUCUUCCUCUCUCUCUCUCUGGAAAGGAAAAGAAGAAAAAGGAGAAGAAGAAGAAGGAGAGGAAGGAAAAGAAGGAGAAAGAGAAGGAGAAGACUAAGAAGAAGGAGAAGAUCAUCUUCUUCUCCCCCUCUUCAAGCUUGGAGCUUGGUAUUGAGGUAAACCUCAAACACUUUAAUGGUGGAUUUUGGAAGUUAGGGUUUUAUAGCUUGGAAUUGGUUCAAAUGGAAUCUAUUGAAGCUAGGGAGAAGGUUCGAGCUCGAAAUCGAAGCUCGCACCGCGGAUUUCUCCAGUAUUGAGAUCUAGGGCUCAGAAAUGGGAUUUUGGCAAAUCUAGGGUUUUGAUCUAAUUUGAUGGGUCGCAAACCUAAUUGCUAGGUCUCUGAACGCGUCGGCGAAGACGGUUCGUCGAUCCGUCGAGUGGGUGCGGAGUUAUCGCCGAGAAGACCUUCGGAGCUUCGUUUUCGCCUAGAAGGCCAACGAGGCGUCGAAACGUCGGCGAAUCGCAAUCGAAGAGUCGCGGCAUCACCACGAGGUGGGGGAGUGCCAUCCCGAAGCAGUCGGGCUACUCUUUAUGUCUGAGUAUCAUUAUCGAUUAUUUACAUAUUGUGAUAUAGUAUUAUAGGGUGUUACAUGUGAUUGUGCAUAUCCUUGCAUGCUAGUGAUGUUUAGGUUGUGGAUACCAUGAAUGAAAACCUAGUAUGCAUGAGUUGAAUACUAUGAGAUAGUUCGCCCUAUAUAUGAUGAAUAUGUUUAUGUGAAUAUGAACCUAGUGUAUUGGAAACUAGUGUAUCAAGAACUUGUCAAGAGAACGAGUGGCAUCUAGUUAACCCUAAACAUUGAACGAGUGGCAUUAAAUAGUGCAAGAGUGGCAUGAGAACACUAGUAUAGUUGAGAUACUAUGUUGCUAUCACCCCUGGUUGGAUAGGGUGUUCCCAGUUCAUGAGAUUGGAUCGAGCUCACUUAGCCUGUCUGCACCUGUGGAGGUAGCUCCUCACAGGUAGUGCACUCCGGAGUUUGGCACGCGAGGGGGCCAGUGUAGUGCCCUUGGACCAGUGUAGUGUCCGCAGGCGGUCUCGGGGUAGGUGAAUAGCUAGCCACCUCCCCUAUGAGACUUAGAGACGUGAGACUGUGAGCGAACCUUGCGUUCGCCGAGAGAUUGGGUAACCAGAUGAGUGACUUUGUUGUUGAUCAUGGUAGUGUGAUAGUCAGCUUUCUUGCUAUGAGUUCCAUGCAUGCAUUACACUGGAUUGAGGCAUUGAUAGAUUAUAGUUGCUCAUUACUUUUACUGCUUUCAGUUUUAUAUAUCUAUCUAUCUGCAUAUCUAUCUGUGCCUGCUUAAGACCUAGUGGGGAGAUCGGCGGAGUCGGCGGCCGAACCCACUGGGAACUAUUCGUAGUUCUUACUCCACCAUAUUGCAGGUCCGAGUUCGAGCGUCCCCGGUGAGGAUCGCGGCAAGGGCGUAGCGCCCUAGUGACAUUAGUAGAGGUUUACUUUCCUAAUGCAUUAGUUGUACCCUGUACUAUUUUGAGAGUAGUUGGAUGUAUAGGGUGAGGUUGAGAGGAUUGUAUAUACAUUGUAUAGUUUUGAAAGAAACUAAGUUGUAAUAAUUGUAUAAAGUUAAAUGGAUCAAUAGAUAAGUACAUCUCUCUUUUAUCACUUGUAGGUCUUACAUGUGUUGCUUGUUCUUGUUUGUUUAGCACUGUUUGUGCUCUCGCUAUCAUUGUUUGAUCAUGUAUGUAAACGAGUGUAUUUCCUGGGAACUUGUGUACAUGAUCUCGUCGCUUGAGCCUUGGGCGGACAGGGGAGACUCUGUCCGUUCGGCGUCCGUUCGCCGCGCUCGAUCCGGACCAAAUUGGUAGCGGGCUCGGGGCGGGGGGUGUGACAAUUAUGUUGACUUUUUGGUUCUCUUUUCUAGGGACGUGUGGUGGAGGUGUAUGGUCCAGAAGCUUCAGGCAAAACGACUCUUGCUCUUCAUGUUAUUGCUGAAGCACAAAAUUAUGGUGGUAAUAUCUGGAAUGCAGUAACUAUGUCCAUAUUCCUCUCCCUUUUUUAUAUUUUUGCUAACAAUUAACUGGGCAGAAUAACAGAUUGAAAGAAUACAAUAAUUUGUUAGGUCCUUUGAUCUCAAGUGUAUAAGUUGAUGUAUCGAUUGAGAGAAAUUUUAAGUGUUUACGCAACAUGAGAAAGACAAUAAUUGAAAGUGUGAAUCCUGUAGGAAGCAAAUGAAGUUCAAUCAUCCACUCUAUAACAGCUCUCCAAUAUGACAUGGGUGCUAUCUUCUACUUUCAGUUCCAAUAUGGUCAGAUUUUAGUUCAACUAAAUGUAUUAUAAUUAAAAAUUUUAUUUUUUUCUCAAAUAAUGUUUGAUGGUACUUGUCAAUUGUAAAACAAUAUUAGAUUGGCAUAACACAACUCAAAAGGUAAGAACACUCUUGGGAAGAAACAAACAUUUAUUACAAGCUGUCAACUUGAUGCUAGCUUUUGAUAACUUGGUGCCAGAUUUUUGGGAAAAGCCAAACCACUCUAUACAUGGGUUUCCUGUGGAACCUACAGGUCAAGCUGGUUGGAUCUUUAUCUAUCUUCAAUUGACGGUUUAAGCUCAUAUUAUGUUGUAACGGAGCUGAAAGGUUCCAUCUAGAUAAAAAUUGUGGAGGGAGAAGGAUGAUAACUUCUGAUGUAUUGGAGUUGCCUUUCAAUCCCCAUGUGCCUAUAACUUUGUACUUUCAGAAGAACAAUAUAUAAAGAAGUAUAAAAUCUUCUUGUGCUUUUGUCUUUUUUAAAAACAUUUUAAAUUAUAUUGAAUGGUUCUAUGUGUGAGCUUCUAUAUUUGAUUCAUAUUCUUAUUCUGUACUUAUUGACCUCUAUUGCUUUCUUGUCAUAUUUCUAGGUUAUCGUGCCUUUGAGCAUGCUCUAGAUCCAGCACUGGCAGAGUCCAUUGGUGUAAAAACUGACAAUUUACUCCUUUCUAGCCCGAUUCUGGUGAGCAGGCACUUAGUCUUGUCGAUAUCCGGAUUCGUAGUGGUUCUGUUGAUGUCGUGGUUGUAGACAGUGUAAGUCCCUUAAUGCUGUUUUCUUCUCUUUUAUUAUGGGCUGGUUUUCAUUUUGUUUCGUCAAAUAUUUUUCACUUUCUACUUAUAUGUUGUGAUUAAUAUUCACCCCAUUUGGCUCACCAUUCUUGGAUUGCUUCUGUGUAAUUUAAUUAGUAUUGUAUAGAGUUUGCUUCUUAUAUUUAUCUAGUAUGAGCUUAAAAGCGUUAAUAUUGUGCUUGGUGAGAAAGCCACAAUGAGUUUGUUACUUGAAAACUAACGAUGGUGAAAUGAAGUGCAUCCUAAAAUAACCGUGAUAAAAUGGCAAAAUCAUUGGACAUUAGAAUGAUUGGAAUAUCCUCAAGCUAACAAACUGAGACAAUUCCAGUUGUAUGGCAGAAUGAUACUUGAUUCAGCUGAUCUCUCUUAGUAUCAGGUUGAGGCUGAGUUGCCAAAGUUUGAGAAUUGGCUCUAAGGCUCUCCUAUAAUCCUAAACGUAUGUGAAUCAUCAAGCAGUAGUGAAAAGCUAUGCGAAUAAAUUAUACUAGUUUUAGUGGGCUUCAUCUGACUAACUACUUGGAGGCAAAGAUGGCAUGGGUCACCCAUUCUGUUCAUUGUAUGAAUUGUUUUUCAAAUUUGAUGUCUGUUCUUACUAAAUUUGAUGGGACCAUUUGAUUCAUAUUUACUUCAAUUGGAGAAAUGAAAACAAAGUUAGAAAGUUAUUUUUCCAUGGAAAAGGGGUUAAAGGAUUCUAUGCUGAAUCAUGUCAGUGUGACUGCUUUGUGCCACUGGCACAAAGGGGUAUGCUGACAUUAGCUUGGUGCCGGUAUGCUCUACAGUGCUUGUGGAUUACUAGCACAGCGAUCCUUGUUUGGAGGAAAUAUUUGGUUAGUCAGAUGGUGAAGAAAUAAGUCUCUUACGAAGUCUGUUUUUAACUUUCUUACUGCUGUUCGCUUCUUAUGCCUAACACUGUUUAAUCCGUGGUAUGCGAUGCGUGAUGAAAUUUACUUACUCUCGCUGAGGCAGCAUAUGUGCUGCCUAUUGUUCUGUUCCUUAUAAGAGAUUUAGUUCAUUCUUUUUUCCACAUUACAUGCGCUACGGAAUAAUCUGUUUUUUCUAUAGUUAUCUGCAUAACCUUGAACCUUUUGUUUACCCAAACUAUGGAAUGACAGGUAGCAGCACUUGUCCCUAAAAGUGAACUGGAUGGUGAGAAGGGAGAUGCACGUGAUGGGAGAUGCACACGUGGCCCUCCAUGCUAGGUUGAUGAGUCAAGCUCUUCGCAAACUGAGCCAUUCUCUCUCUCUUUCCCAGACAAUUUUGCUAUUUAUAAAUCAGGUAUCUAAGUGUAUAUAUAUUGUUCAAAGUUCAUUUGGUUGGUUCUCUCACUCUUCGAAUUGUUGUUACAAGGGUCAUAGGCCCGAAGCACGAACAGCAGAACUUUACCCAUUAAGCGUAUGAAUGCAUAUAUAAAUGCUUUAUGAUAUCCACAUUUAAUCUUUACUUGUGUGCCUACACUUACCAUAGACUUCUUUGUGAAGGAUUUUAUAGGUUGGCGGAUUUCGUAAUGUUGAAUGGAGUCUUGAAGAAUUGAUUGCGAUUGUUUGAAGAAAAGAUUCAAAUUGGAGAACAAAGACUCAUUCGGAAAGCUCGACACUUCAGGUAUGAAGAAUAGAUGAUUUAUGGUGAAGAUGUUUAGUUGUAAUAAGUUCAGAAGGCUUAGAUUGCUUUAAAACUAUUUUACUGAACUUUUAUGUGUUCUGGGACCGGUCCCUGAGGUUGAGAGACCGGUUCCCCUAAGGUCCUCACUGCAUGAACGUUGAGGCAACCGGUCCCCUGAGAUGAGAGACCGGUUCCCGAACGUUGGUAUUUCUGUCGCGCAGCGAGGGACCGGUCUCUGGCUUGAGAGACCGGUUCCCGAACGUUGUGAUCUUUGUCACGCAGCGAGGGACCGGUCCCUCACUUGAGAGACCGGUCUCUCACAGACCGGUCUCCUUGAGAAGACCGGUCUCUGAGGACGACACAUGUUUUUAAAAAAGGACUUUUUGCAAUCCUAGUCUACUUCAAGUCUUUUAAACAUAUAAAUAAGCGAUGGGGGUCAUCUUAAAGUUUAAGGCUUUAAAUUUCUACUCAUUCAAAAUUCUAGAAACUUAUUUUUUCCGUUCCUAUGAUUCUAUUCCUAUAACUAGUUUCUAACAAUCAACGAUCGACUUGAUUCUUCGUUUUUACUUGAGAACUCAUACGAGAAUCUAGUAGAUGCUUGAUUAAGAGGUAGACCCUCAUCGCUUAUGGGAUUCAAAGAUUAAAUCACCACAAAUCUUCGAUUCUACAAGCUCCGGAAGGAGGUUCGGCGCGUGGAUCUCGCGUGAAGCCGAGGAUUCGGUGGACGCUUCGAGGAGUUGAGGCAUUGACGCUGCAAGGAGUUGCGGCAGGAUCGGUUGGAGGAUUCCUAUCGAUCGAGGACCGGCGAAGAUCACCAUCAACGGGAAUUCGGUAAAUUGAGUCGUGUAUUUUUGUCAAAAUCACUUGUACUUAAGUUUUCUUAGUGGAUUUUCUUCGCGUGAUCGGUCCCGUGGGUUUUUCACUCCGGUUUGGAGUUUUUCCACGUUAAAUUCUCGGUGUUCUAUUUUAUUUUCCGCUAGUUUGUUUUAUUUGCAUCGAGAUUUUUGAGUUUGCCGUUUUUACACCUAUUCACCCCUCUCUAGGUGUUACUUGCCUUUUAGAUCCCCGGGAUCCAUAUCUUUCAUUCUUCACUUGUUAGCAUUUCAUUUUUACAUUGAGUUCCUCUUCUUCAUUUAAGAAUGAAAAUAACCAUUUACAAUUCACUUGAAACUCUAAAUGAUUAUUGACUCAACGCUUUGUUUAACAAAAAUGUAUGUAAUCGUUCAAAUUGGAAAUCUUUAAUUUACUCUUAGAUGUAACUAUUGAGAAUUGGCUUCGAUGAGUAUUCUUUUCUCACAUGAAGUGGUUAGUUGGCUUGCGCCCUAAGAUAAAGAGAAGUUGUAUCAUAAAGGGUAGUUGUAUCAUAAAUUUGUAUUUUACACGAAGAAUCCAGUUUCAUGAUACUUUAAUAUUAUGCCACACUAUUUGCCAAAUAUAAUAGGCAAUAAGUCAGUAAUUUCUUGACGAGGGGCUGUGUGCUUUGUCGAACUAAUUUCUUACCAAGAUUUGCAUAUUAUUUGGAUUAUUGGUUUUACUUAGGUGAGGUCAAAGGUGAGCGCGUUUGGUGGAUCUGGAGGGCCAACUGAAGUUACCUCUGGGGGUAAUGCGUUGAAAUUUUACGCGUCUAUCCGCCUGAAUAUCAAACGAAUUGGCUUGGUUAAAAAGGGUGAAGAGGUAAGCAACUACUACAUUGUAAAUAUUUACAUCUUGCUAUUACCUUUAAUUUGGCAUUGAGCCAAUGUAACUCAAUUGCAUUUAGUACAUUUAUAGAUGCUUUUUUUUUUCCCUACUUUCAGACGGUAGGUAGCCAAGUUCUGGUGAAGAUUGUGAAGAAUAAACACGCCCCACCAUUUAAGACUGCUCAGUUUGAGCUCGAAUUUGGAAAAGGGAUAUGCCGCGACUCAGAAAUAAUUGACCUGGCUCUCAAGCAAAACUUCAUAACGAAAGCUGGCGGUGCUUUCUACAAUUUCAAUGGCCAGAGUUUUUGUGGGAAAGAUGCCAUUAAACGCUAUUUUGCUGAGAAUGAAGGUGUUCGGGAUGAGGUCAUGACGAAGUUAAAAGAGAAAUUAAUGCAAAACGACACAGAGAAGAAGCAUGAUUCGGGAAGUGAAACAGCGGAGAAUGUUUCUGAAGAGAUUGUUGCUUUCGAUACAACGGACAAGGAAAUUGUUGCUGCAGUUGAGGCAUGACAUAGCACACCAAAUGUCGCAUUCAGUGGUACAAAGUUAGAAAGGCCAACUUGAAAUGCAGAUUUAGAAGAUGAUAAUCUAUCUAAUUUGGACUUUUUAGAUGAGGAUCUGCGGAGAGCAGUUUCCAAGCGAGAUGCUGGCCGGUUAGAGAGAAUUUAUUCUCUGAUCAUUGUUUUGGGCAUGUAUAAUUGUCUUUGUACCGGAAGGCAGCGAGAAGUGAUGGAAAGAAAAGGGCUAAGUAGCCCUAGUAUGACUUGGGUGCCUCUGGUGUAUCCUGAAGCUAAAGUUUAUUCGAGUUAUGAGUUAUGACCUUUAUAUUUUUCAGAAAUUUGAUAUGAUGAUUUUUAUUUGGUAAUUUCGGACUGAUUUUAUGACUUCUUUUUGAUUGAUCCAGAACAGCUGGAGCUGCGGAAAUUGAAGUGUGAAGCAAGAGUUUCAACCAUGCGGUGUUUGUUAUUUUUUGGCUAUAUUUUGAACAAAUAUUUUUUGUUAAAACUUAUGUUCGAAAUUUAAUUUGAAUACUGAGAUUGUAAUUUGAGAGUUGAGACUAUUUGUUAUACAAAUUAUUAAUGCUUUUUGGUUAUUACUAUACUUUAAUAUUUCAAUUUAUUGUAGUAUUUAGUUGUGAAUUAAGUAUUUUAAUAUUAAUUGUAAUUGCCGCUAUAAGCUUUAUUUAUCAAUUAUUUAGUAUAUUUGUUGUGGCAAUUAUAAUUAAUUAUAGCGGCAUUUAUAAUAGUUGUUAUUAUAUAGUAUUUAGCGGCAUUUAUAAUAGUUGUUAUUGCAUACUAUUUAGCUGCAUUUAUAAUAGUUGUUAUUGUAUAAUAUUUAGCGGCAUUUAUUUGGAUUUUUACCAACCGCUGGAAUAAAUGCCGCUAAAACUUUUAGCGACCCUACCAAUAGCGGCAAUUAUCGUAAUUGCCACGGAAUCAUUUAGCGGCAAUUAUAAUUGCCGCUAAUUUAAAAAAUUAUCGCCGCUAAAACUUAAUUUUGUUGUAGUGUGCUGAAGUGAACCGUGAAGAUCAAUCUCUGGCAAACCAGGAAUCGACUUUACGGCAGUGCAUUCUAACCCUUAAAGAAGAAUUAGCUGCGGCUGAAUCUACUCUGGCGCAAACUUCUGAACGCCGACUCCAACUAGGGGAACAAUUGAAAUCUACGAGAGAAAAAGAAAUGAAAAUUCAAGAAGAGCUCUCUCAGCUCUAUAAGGUGCAUACCUUAAUGAAACGCCGACGAAAAGCUGCCGAAACCGCUCAAGCUAAUCUUAUAGCCGAAUGGAACCAACUUAGAGAUUUAUUAUCUUGAUUCGGCUUGUAAUAUUCUAACUUUGACUUUGAUUAUUUUCCCACAUAGAUGGGUAAUAUCUCUUUAAAUAUUUUUCGUUGAUUGAUUUUUUAUUUUUUAACCCAUCUCUGUUCUGCAAAUAAUAUGCAUUUCCUCUUGUGAUUCGGCUGACUUGAAAUGGCCCGUCCCAAUUUGGAGACUAUUUUCCAUACGUUCGGUCUUUUUGACCGAUUGGAAAAACCAGCCGAAGUACUAAAUCACCGACGACAAAUAUCUUUGAUUAAACUCUCUUAUUGUAUGCACUACGCACUCGGCUUUGGUAUGCUUGCAUAUUAUCUAAAGCUAUCAACCGAGUAUCAUAUACUUCCUCUACUUUGUCUUUCAUUAAAUUACUGUAUUCAUCAGCCGACAAAUCUUUUUGCUUUUCUGUCCUCAAAGAAGGAACUGUUAUCUCGGCUAGAAUUACGGCCUCAUGUCCGUAAACUAAUUGGAAUGGUGUUAUCCCUGUUGCCGUUUUCACUGAAGUUCGGCAUGCCCAUAAUACUUCGAAAAGUUUUUCAUUCCAUUUUCUCGGAUGCUUUCCGAUAUGUCGUUUCAUAAGGUUGAUGACUAUUUUAUUCGCUGCUUCUACUUGUCCAUUCGCUUGGGCAUAAUAGGGAGACGAAUGGAGCAACUUUAUCUUCGAGACUCAAUGAACCGAACGAACUGUCUUCCUGUGAACAUUGUCCCUUGAUCGGUCGUAAUUGUCUCGGGAAUCCCAAAGUGAUGAAUUAUAUGAUCUUCAACAAAAUCUAUAAUUUCUUUUUGGGUAACCAACCAAGUGGGUUUUGCUUCCACCCACUUGGUGAAAUAAUUGACAGCCACUAUUAAAAAUUUGUGACCAGCCGAGGAGUUCGGCUGAAUUUCUCCAAUUAAAUUCAUGACCCAACCUCGAAAAGGCCAUGGUUUGAUGAUUGCAUACAUCUCAGAGGCCGGAACUCUCUGGAUUGAGCUAUGAAAUUGACAAUCCUGACAACCUUUGGCAUAUUCUAUACAAUCUUGAUGCAUUGUUGGCCAAUAAUAUCCUAAGUGCCGAAUUGUCCAUCUUAACUUUUUUUCCGGCUAAAUGGGUUCCACAUAUUCCUUCAUGUGUUUCUCCCAUUAUCAACAGAGCUUCUUCAGGUCCUAAACAUUUUAAUAGAACUUCUUCGGCUGUUCUCUUGUAAAGUUGACCAUCUAACAAACAAUAGCCGAGAGCUCUUUUUCGAAUAUUAUAAUCGACCCUUGUAUUAGGAUCCUCCAGGUAUUUGAUUAAUAAUUUUCUCCAAUCUUCCUUCACUUCUAUAGGAGCUAUAAUCGGUCUUCGUACAUGAACCGAAGGUAGCAACCUCCUCUGUAUUACUAUUGACUCUGACUUCGGCUCUCUAUAUCCUGAAGCCGACUGAGCUAGCUCAUUUGUCUUUUCAUUUUUCUGUUUGUUCAAAUGUUCGAAUUCAGUCUCUCUGAAUUCACAUAGUAACUCUAAUGUCUUCCUUAAAUAAUUUUGUAAAUUCGGAUUUUCAUAUCGGUAUUCUCCAUUCACUUGUUUGAUUACUAGCUGUGAGUCACCGAUGACUUUGAUUGACUUUGCUUUCAUUUCUUGUAAAAUUUCUAGGCCAAUUAUUAAGGCCUUAUAUUCGGCAUGAUUGUUAGAGCAGUCGAAAUCUAGCUCGAAAGCAAAUUGGCAUGAAUACCCUUUAGGAGAUUGGAUAACUAUUCCAGCUCCUGCUGUUUCAGCUGUUCUUGAGCCGUCAAAAUAAAGUGUCCAAGGUUGACAACCGACUAAAUUUUGCUUCGGCUCUUCAAUUUCCACACAUGGAUGAUCAGCCAAGAAGUCAGCUAUCGCUUGUCCUUUAACAGCUUUGGCUGGAAUAUAAUUAAGGGAGAAUUCAGACAAAGCCAGCAUCCAUUUUCCAAGUCGACCCCUUAAUACAGGUUUGGCCAACAUAUACUUUACCAAGUCGGUUUUGCAUAUUACCGAUACCUCAGUUGGUAAAAUAUAGUAUCUUAGCUUUGUGCAUGAAUAGUAUAAAGCCAAACACAAUUUUUCAAUAGCCGAAUACCGUCUCUCGGUAUCGUAAAGACGUUGGCUCAAAUAAUAAAUGGCUUGUUCUUCCUUCUCUUCGUUUUCUUGGGCUAAUAAACACCCAAGAUUUUCCUCUGCAGCCGAAAUAUACAAUUUCAUCGGCCGAUUUGACUUUGGAGGCACCAAUACCGGAGGGUUUGAUAAAUAUCUUUUUAUAUUUUCAAAUGUCCCUUGCUGUUCCUCUGUCCAAACUAAUUCUUCUUUAUCUUUUAGCCGAAGUUGUAGGGUAAACACCCCUAUUCUUCGGGCCAAGUUGGAUAUAAACCGCUGAAGAUAAUUGAUCUUCCCUAACAGGCUUUGCAGUUCCUUUUUGCACUUUGGUGGCAGUAAUUCUAUUAUCGCUUUCGCCUUAUUUUUAUCGAUUUCGAUCCCUUUUUUGUGCACUAAAAAUCCUAUAAAGUUUCCUACUGAAACUCUGAAAGCACAUUUCAAAGAAUUCAUUUUCAAAUUAUAUUUUCCCAUUCUUUCAAAAGUGAGCUUUAAAUCAAUCCAAUGUUCGGCUUGUGACUUGGAUUUUACGACUAUAUCGUCAAUGUAUACUUCCAACAUUUUGCAAAUUAAAUCAUGGAAAAUAAAAUUCAUUGCUCUCUGAUAAGUAGCUCCGGCAUUCUUUAAGCCGAACGGCAUAACAACCCAUUCAAAGGUUCCAAUCGAACCAAGGCACCUAAAAGCCGUUUUAGCCAUAUUUUCCUCAGCAAUAUAAAUUUGAUUAUAACCAGCAUGUCCGUCCAUAAAAGACAGAAUUUCAUUACCGGCAGCCGAAUCUACUAACAUAUCGGCUAUUGGCAUUGGGUAUUCAUCUUUAGGUGUGGCUAAGUUCACGUUCCUAAAAUCGAUACAAACUCCAAGUUUGCCAUUCUUUUUGCGUACUGGAACUAUAUUAGACACCCAAUCGACAUAACGGGCCGCUCUAAUAAAUCCGGCCUUCAAAAGAUUUUCUAUUUCAUUCUUAAUUUGGAGUACAAUACUCGGCUCAAACCUACGAGCCGGCUGUUUAAAAGGCUUAAACCUUUUUUUAAUGGGCAACCUAUGCUCUAUAAUUUCUCGGCUUAAACCUGGCAUUUCUUCAUAACUCGAGGCGAAGCAAUCUUUGUACUCAUUCAACAGCGUCUUCAACUCUUCCUGUUGUUGAGCUGAUAGCUUAGCACUUAUAUAUGUCGGUCUCUUGACUUCAUGGGAUCCCAAGUUUACUUCUAUCAGCGAAUCUUGGGUCUCUAGCUUUUUCUCACCGACUUUAAUAGGCGAUUCUUCUAGAUCCAAUUCUUUUGCUUGCCUAUUCAUUUCGUGUAAUUUGUCGGUCUUGAUGACCGACUUUAUCUGCUUUCUUUUUUGGCCUUGUACACCGAAUCUUUUAUAACUCCUUCGGCUUUAUUAGCCGAAUUGUCAAGCAUUACCACUCGGCUAUGGCAGCCGAAUCAUUCUCAUAGCCGAUCUUGUUGAUCGGCUUAUCCCGUCGAGGCUCUUGAUAAGCCUCUAUUCUCAAUUUUUCAGACUCCAUUUUAACCACCUAGGUGGCUCUUCAUCAGCCACCACACCAUUGACAUCUUUGGAGAUGAUUAAUUGAACCCCCUUCUCUGUUACUCUAACAAACGAAAUUUGAUCUGCAUCAGCAUCGGCCCAAUUGGUGUGGCCGAUGUCCUCCAUGUUGAUGUCCACCAUUUGAGGCAGAGCAUAUACCAUAUUCACCUCAGCCGGUGACUCUUCGGCCGACUUUCCUUUAAUUCUCUGUUUAUUCUCUUCAGAUUCUUUAGCCGUUUCGGCAGAAGAAUCACUCUCCAUCUGGACCUCCCUUUCCUUAGGGGGCCAUCUUUCUCUCUUGAUCAUCGUUUCGAGGGAAGCUAUUUUGUCUUCUAACUCCCUCCUGGUCAUUUUUCUUCUGACUCAGCCUCGGUUGGCCGUUCUAACCUUGACUUCAUCAGAGGGGCAGGCGAUGAGCCACCUGCCUCGUGGUCAUUUCUCAUUGGGCGAAAAGGGUGUGACUGCUCAUCAAGGCGCCUUCAUACAUUGAGCCUUAUCCCUUUCGCUUAUUCGUAGUGUUGUUUUGCCUCGGCUUGCAUCCUCUGCUGCCGACGCUUUUGAGUUUUCGUUAACAUUGGCCCCUGCCACUUGGCCGAUGGUUUAAUCUCAACUUCGUGCCAUUCAUCCACUAGCACAUUCGCCGGUACCUUUACUGUUCUCAAAUAAUUUUUCAAAAUUUCUCUUCUUUCCCAAGGUCUCGGCCAAUGCUGAAUGCCGAGCUUGUUGACUAGCCUCCGACCAAGGAAUUCUGUCUCCCUCGGUCAUUCCCUCGAAUUCUGGUUCUGGUCUCGGCCUGGCUUGCUGUUGCCAGUGUGGCCGAUAUCCAGGGAACCUUUGUUUGGAGCCGAAUGGUCUAUCCUGGUAGUCCCAUCGGCCUUGACGCUCGCCACGCUUGUUGUUGUAAUAAUCAUGCAGAAUCUUUUGCAUCAAUAUGUCUUGUUUGCAUUGAACCGAUUUGACUUCCAGUUCAGUAUCAUUGGAGGCCUCGUCUGAGCCUUCUUCUUCUUGAUCUUCACCGUCAGGAAUGUCAUCCCAUUCCUCGGGGAAUGCCAUCAACUCAUUCCACUCGUUGCCUCUUUUCUUGGCAUUGACAAUGGCUUCCCAGUCUUUCUUCGUUAUUUCAGCCUUGCACCUUAUGCAUAGCCGAAGGUUCCUCUUCGCAUGAGCGACAUCAUCGGCAGUUAGUCUUGCAGUAGUCGCCUUUCCUUUGGCAUCCAUUGUUAUGUCCUGAAAAGAAAGCAUAUACUUAUCAACUUCUUCAUUUUUAAUUUGCAGGUCGGCUAAAAUAAGCCGACCCUCUUCAAUUUCUUCUUGAAUUUGUCUCUUGGCGGUAGCCUUUCCCUUUCCCUUCAUGUUCACCACGUUAACCUGUGGUGGAAAAGGAUUUUUAUCAAUUUCCAUAUUUUUGUUUUCUUGGUCGGCAAAAAUAAGCCGACCUUCAUUAAUUUCUUUUUGUAUCUGCCUCUUGAAGGCAGUGCAUUCACUAGUUUUAUGGCUCCACGAGUGGUGCCACUUACAAUAUCUUCUGCGUUUUAGUUCUUCUACCGGAGGUAUGGUUUGACCCUUCUGUAGUUUAAUUCGUCCAUCCUUUAGCAACAGAUCAAAAAUCAGAUCGGUCUUUGCUAUAUCAAACGAAUAACUAAAUGCAGACACAUGUGUUUUCGCCUCUCUUGAUUUGGUAGGUUUUAACAAAGCACAUUUGUACGGUUGAUUAUUUCUCACCAUCUCGGCAGCACAGAUUUCGGCUUCAUCAGCCGAAUCCUCAUUCUCUUCAGACGAAUUCGGCUCUUCAUGAGCCGAAGAAUCUUCAAAGAAAGAGAUAUUUUUCUCCUUUCCUUUGCUCCAAUCUUUGUUUCCGCUCUAUCUGGGCCGAUCUUCAUUGUUACCUUUUCGAAAUUGCUCACAUUGAGCAACUCGAACUCCCAAAUCAAAAAGAUUUGGAAAGAAUUUAUCCUCAAAAUGAUCUUUAAUUUUGAAAUGCAUGCCGUUGAAUGCCAUUUUGGCAAAUUCUGAUUCCGGCAUUCUUACGAAACAACGGCUUCGAGCAGUCUUGAAUCGGUUCAAAUAUUCAUCAACCGAUUCUCCUGUUCUUUGUUUGAAUUGAGCCAAAUCUGCAACUGACAGCUCUAGCUCCGUUCUAUAAAACUGUUUAUGAAAUUUACCUUCUAACUCGUCCCAGUCUCGGACGGAAUUAGCAGGUAAACUCAUGUACCAUGUGAAAGCCGUCUUAGUUAAUGAGGUAUUAAAUAACCUCAAUUUUAAAAACGGAUCUGCCGCGGCCUCACGACACUGAGCUGUAAACCGUGCAACGUGUUCGACCGUAUUUUCGGACUCGUCGCCAGAAAACUUGUCAAACUUCAGCAUCUUCCAAUUUGCCAAAUAUGGGUGUUCUACAUCUAUAUUUGUAGGGUAUGGUGACCUGAAUACGGGCUGCAUUGUUGGCCUUGCACUUACUCCGAAAGUAUUCCGGAUGGCUUCUUCUAUUUGCGCAUAAAUCUCGUUAUUAAUCCUCUGCAAAGGAACUUGCGCUGGUGCUGGAUUCGGUGGUUGUGGAACACCGAUGUUUUGUACCACGGGAUUAACCCCUUGUACAUUUGGAGCCUGCCCCCUAGCCCCUGCAUUUUGAGGCUUGUACACUGCUACUGGAGGGGGUGGAGGUAACCCCCAAGCUACUUCUGGUUGUUGACCGGCAUUACCGACAGCCGGUCUAUAAACCACUUGAUAUGGUGCCCCCUGGUAUUGGGGCUGACCACUUAUCGGUGUUACUAAAUUUUGUAACACUGGUGUUAUUACAGGCGCUUGUAGGCCUGUUAUCGGUUGUUCGUUCCGAGUUAAGAACUGCCCUAUUCGGGCGAUGUUCUCGUCAGAAGCCGUAAUUGCGGCCAAGACGGCAUCAAGCCAUGCAGUACUCGCAUGACUAUUUUGGUCCAAAACUUGUAGGACCUGAGUCAUUUGUCCAAGCGCCUGGGUCAAACUAGGCUCCUGUUGGCCAGAUUGACCACUGGUUUCACCCUCGACAGGUAAAACUGCUUGGCGCUCUAUGGCAUUCUCCGAAUUACUGGGUUGUUCGCUCCCAGAAUUUCUAGGAAUGACCCUAUUACAGAGAUUCAUGGCGUUAUCAUCAGCCAUAAUUUAUAUAAAAUGUAAAUUUACCUUAAAUGUGAGUCCCACUGGGCGUGCCAAUAAAUUGUUGGUAGCCGAAAUCUCUAAUCCCUAACCCGGUCAAAGAUCCUCCUCAGGGAGCGCGUCGGGAUGCGAAACGGCUGUGAAUAGUGACCCUCGAAGUUUGUACUCUUCGAUUGAUCAAGCGAUUCGGCUGACGAGGGAUCGGGUCAGCCGGGUUCGAAACCUCUACAGCAAAUUCGGUUCGGCUGGAUGAGCCGAAUGAACAAAAGAAGUCAGAAUUUCAGCCAAGGAAUGAGCCGAAUGGCUAAUACAGCACAGGAACUGGUCGGCUUGAAGAGCCGGACACUACCCUCUAUUGAAAGAGAACGGAGAAAGUACAGGAAAGAGGGUUUUAAUCUAUAGCGGAGUGAUGCCCAAAGGGCAGACAGACUCUAGGAUACUAAGUUACAGGAACUACUCCUAGGGAAAGCAGUAAAUGCGAGAAAGAAAGAUGCAGGAAAAUAAGGGUGAUCUUUUGUGCGCAGGGGCAAAGACCUCUUUUUAGGGUAUUAUUACCCUAUUUAUAGAUAGUCCCCUCGGUCAGUUAUUGUUCUUACAUGAUCGGCCACUAUCUCCUCAUAUUCCGGACCACUUCUAGUCGAUUGGAACCGCAUGUAACUUCUUGCGCUUACCGUAACUUCCUUCAAUUGGCGCGAUACACUUUUCCGAUGCUCCCGAUGCACGACUGAAUAGAUGCUUUUGAAGGGAAUAUUCGCACCGAUCCUAUCCGCGCCUGAUUGGCUCAACACUCCUAUUUUGAUAUUUUAGUAUCCUGUAGGCUACAAAAUUUUCUAUUUUUUAAAAGUACUUUUAAUAUUUAAGUUGAUGGAUUCAAAUUAAGUAUCCCAUAAUUAAGAUCCAAGAGGGAUUCAAAGUGCGGUGAUAUGCUGCGGGAGAGAAAUAAUUUCUCUUGAUAUAUUUAAGCUUAAGAAGCUUAAUUAUUACCCUUUCUUAAUUAUAUACGUACUUUUGUGCUUAUAUUUUAAAAUGCAUGAGCGUUACUAAGAACUUAACACAUGCAUGCACCUCAAAGCUACGCUUAGACCAAAACACAUUACUAUUAUUUCUAGUAGUUUCUCACAUUACUAUUAUGGGUAUAAAUAAGAUUAAACUGUUGGCGGACCAAUGGAAGCACUAUCUGUCAUUAAAUUUGCACCACUGUAAUCGCUAAUUUUUUUUUUUUUUCCGCUUUCGAGGUCCAUGUUGCCUCACCUCUGUAGCUUAGUUCACUCUUUCAAUGAAUGAAGCAGGUAACGCGCUACCUAUUUCUAAAAAAAAAAGCAGUUUCUCACCACUACAACAAAACUAUGUUUUACCGGCGAUUAUUUUUUAAAUUAGCGGCAAUUACAAUUGCCGCUAAAAUAUUUUGUGGCAAUUUUAACAAUUGCUGCUAUUGGCAUGGUCGCUAAAAGUUUUAGCGGCAUUUAUUCUGGCGGUUGGUAAAAAUUCAAAUAAAUGCCGCUAAAUAUUAUACAAUAACGACUAUUAUAAAUACCGCUAAAUAGUAUACAAUAACAACUAUUAUAAAUGCCGCUAAAUAAUAUACAAUAACAACUAUUAUAAAUGCCGCUACAAUUAAUUAUAAUUGCCGCAAAAAACAUACUAAAUGAUUAAUUAAUAAAGCUUAUAGCGGCAAUUAAAUUAAUAUUAAAAUACUUGAUUAACAACUAAAUACUACAAUGAAUUGAAAUAUUAAAAAAUAUUAGUAACCAAAAAGCAUUAAUAAUUUGUAUAACAAAUAGUCUCAACUCUCAAAUUACAAUCUCAGAAUUCAAAUUAAAUUUCAAACAUAAGUUCUAACAAAAAAUACUUGUUCAAAAUGUAGCAAAAAAAUAACAAACACCGCAUGUCUUGCUCCCCACUUCAAUUUCCGCAGCUCCAGCUGAUCUGGAUCAACCAAAAAGAAGUCAUAAAAUUAGUAUCUGAAAUUACCAAAUAAAAAUCAUCAUAUCAAAUUUCUGAAAAAUAUAGAAGUUAGGUUGUACUGUUCAUCAACAAAUAAGAAGACAAUAGUUAACAAUAUAUAAAUACCAUAAAGCAUAUCCGCACAAUAAUUAAUAAUGUAAAAGACCAAGUUCUGAUUGAUGGUUAAUCCUAUUUGUGCUUGGUUGAGGAAUAAAGAUUGUUCCGCUAUGGGGGAUAGUAAUAACUGACCACAAAGUCAAUUUUGUGGACUGUGCUGAAAGGCAGAACAGAUCAGAGCAGCUCUUUCAAAGUGAACAUUCUGACUUUCACAUCACUCGACGUAUUUUAGUAAUAUUUGACAAGAUCAAGGGAUUGAAGCUUUGAGGUAACCCCCCACACAAAAGCUUGUAGCUGUGGGCUAUGCAAGCUAGCAAGACAGUUCACAUUUCUACAAUUCUAGUGAUAGAAAAUUCUACCAAUAGUUGAUAUAUUUCUGAAGUAUAAUUUGCUAAUUAAACUUUUUAGAUGAGAUAUAAAGCAAUUGGUAAGACUAGACAAACAAUUACAUCACAGAACUCAUUAUCUUCAAUAGAGAGAGCCUUGAAACCCACAAGACUCAAUACUUCCUCAUAGCUACACAUAAGACAAGAACAAGGAAUUGUUAUGCCAUUAGAUACCUUUGACUCCAAUUAGCUAGUUGAAGUUGGCGUGUCAAAGUAUUAAUAUUGAAUCUUGUUGCAUAUCUACCAAACACUCCAUUAAGGGCAAAAAUAUACUUACUCAGCGACAGUUGUUUUGUAAGGCGGCCCUUCUUGCUGAUCGGUAAUCUGCUGUCCACAAUAUGUAAAUGCUAAUAUUAAAUUCUUAAGGCAAAGAACAUAGGGGAAAAGAAACAAGUCUAAUAGCCCUUGAUCAGAGCUGAUCUUAGGGGGGAAAAGAAAGAAAUUUCAUACUACAUUGGCGAAGAUAAUGAGUUUAAUUACGCAAGAGCUAAUUUUGAUAGUUGAUAAAAUGUCGCCAAACAAUAACAAAAUCCACCUAUGCAUCAAGUGGUCUCCCAAUUGACACUUGACGAUUAAUAGAGCAUGCUUGCUCCUUUAAUUGUUAAAGAGCACAAUGGAGUUUAUUUUCAGAUGCCAAGACAAAAAAUAAUCACUUAACAUUUUUGAUUGGGAACACCUAAACAAAGCUUAAGAAGCCUAUUUAAUUUGCACCGUUCAUUUUGUCUCCACUAAUGCAUUUGUAAGAACAUCCAAACCAAUUAAAUUUGGUUUCUAAUAAUUUCAUACACUCUGGAUCAUCUCCAAUGGUAUGGAUAGUCAAUCUAGAUCCUCCAGCAUCGCUUUUCUGAAGUAUUGGAACCCAAAUCCUUUUGAAUGUGGCCUGGUCGUUCUCUACAAAUAAACUGUCGAUCAAAUAUGAAAUCCCUGUAUAUAGAAUUACCCAAGAGCACAAAAAAUUCAAUGUCGAGAGAACAAGGUGGUUCAAAAGUGCUCAACUUCCUACAGGGGCUCUUGAACUAAGCCUAGCAAAUCAGCCAUGGCCUACAGGUGUGUUCAGUUUAUAUUAAGAAAACUGAACAGAAACUGACAACAAAAUUGCUGAACCCCUUCGCUUCAUAAAUAUUCAUCUGAUAAUACAAAGACCAUAAUUUCUAAUUUAGCAUCUUCAAUCUUGUCACAUGCAAACAAAUCAUUUCAUCAGGAGAGAAGUUGCAAGUUGAAACUAAGUUCUAGUGAAUAUAAACAAUAUUUUCAUUUGGAGAAAAUAUAUAGCUUUUUGCUGUCUACCAGGCCAUAAAAACUUUCAAGACUUCAAAUCAACAAAGAAAACGCCUGUGUUGCAAAAGUUUCAGGAAAGCCAAUCACGAAAUGAACUUCUCAAAGUAAUGUACAAAUAUAAAACAAUUAUUCAGAACAGCAAACAUGUCCGUAUAAUUACAAAGCCUGUCCAUAUUACUGUCCGGGUAAUAUUUCUGUCAUCUAGUCUCCAUAAUGCUUAAAUUGUAAUGCUUAAAUUUUUUAAAUUAGCGGCAGAGAAGUGGCUGAGGAAUGGUGUGUCUAUCAACAAAAUUACAAUUUAGCGGCGAUUAUUACUGUACGGCGUUCUCUAAGUUAGGCCACAAAUGAGACAAAAAAUAAAAAAUAAAAGCCAUAAAGAACCCCCCCUAUUUGCUCUAAACUGGGUCAAAUUUCACUUUAGUACCAGAAGCUCCAAUAAUUCGAAAGCUCAAAGUUCCCUCUUUAACAUUUUCUUGUUCUAUUACUAGAGCGGAAGCUCAAAGCUCAAAUUACUUUCAGUUUGCACAUCAGAUAGACAAAAGAUUGAAAAAGAAGCUUGUAUAACUAGCCUAGAACAAAAACUCCCAAAAAACCUACCCUCAUCUAUUUAGAUAAUAUGAGAUUGAUAUGUCUUUAUUACAAGAAAUCAUUCUAAAGCUUUAGUUAAAUGAAAAGUUGUACUCGUUCAUGUUAAACAUUUCAAACCGGAACCACAGCUAAGAGACGAUAACAGAAAUCACAACUAAGAGACGAUAACAAUUCAUCUAGUUGCACAAUAGUUUCAUCUUUUCUUAAGCAAACUAAAAGAUAACGGUAAGACAGAAGUGAAAGAGGAGCGACAGUUUCCAAGAUAAUUACCUUAACGAGUAAUUUGUACAUCCAUAUCGUGAUAAGAACUAGAAGCAUCAGAAACCUGUUUCAUGAACAUUAUGAGAAUAAAAAAUAACUAGUUAUGAUAACAAGAAAUUAAUAUUAAUGAUUUAAAGUAAUUUGCUUCAAAUAUUACCAAUCAUACUAUGCCAAAUAAGUAAUUUAGUAGCUCAAAAAUGGCCUAAAAGUAUAUAAAAAUAUUAAAAAGAAGAAGGAACAAAAAAAUUUCAAAUAGUAAAACUCUUUUACCUUUCCUUGGGAUCGAGAACAACAAGAUACCGAUUCUUCAGGAAAUUGUCUACUUAUGAUCGACCUCAUCAUUGCAACUUCAGCCUCUAAACGUGCUUUAUUUUCUUUCAUAAUUUUCAUCUCCUUCGCACGAUGUUGCUCCAUCAGUUUAAUUUCUUUCUCCAGUUCUUUUAUUUUCUCAAAAUCCUUUGAAGAUGAUUGAUAUACGGAACCGGGAGACCAUAAGCUAGUUGGUGUCGGACCAAGUCCCAAUCCACGGACUUGUCCAUGUCUCUCCUCGCCAAUUACUUGAGAGUAUACAUCACCUUCCCAAGCUACGUCUCCUUGAUCACUGUGUUCAGUGGAGUUUGGAAGCUUUUCAAUCUUCUCCAUUAUCAAAUUCUGCACACCAUAAUGUAGAAAGCCUUAGCAUAUGGUUAAUAAAUUAAUAACGACUCUAGAGUUACAACUUUAAAAGAAAUUUGGAACAAUCAAAACUUACAUGCAUGAAUUAUUGCAACUUCUGGAUAUAUGCAUGAAUUAUUGGAACAAUCAAAACUUACAUGCAUGAAUUAGUUGAGUAUUUAUUAUCACAUGGUGUUUGCUACUUCUGGAUAUAUGCAUGAAUUAUUGCAAAACUUACAAGUACAUGGUCUUUUAAAAGAACAAUAUAUUACUGAAUCCCUAUUGCUGAAUUCUAUGACAACCAAAAAUGUUCACCAUCAACAAGUAGUGAAAUAGUUUCAACAAAAUUUUUAUUUUGCUUGAUGUAAGUAAAUUCUAUUAUCUCUUAAAUAUAAUGAUAAAUUUACAAUCCAACCUAUUAAAUAGUUAAAUCCAUCAUUAUUGUUUAGAAGUAACCUAAACUCAUUGUAAAAGAAUGGCUCAACCUAUUUUUAAAAAAGUAGAGUUUAAAUUUUAUUAUUUAAUAAAUAUUUUAUAGAAAGCUGAGUGUGGUGGAACUUAGAAUUCAAUACUCUAGAAGGAAAAAAGGCAAGAGGUUUAACAUAACUCAAGUUACCACAUUAUCAUCAGUUUUAUAUGAUGAGAUGGCAUAUGAGGUUGGUUGGUCUAGCAUCAUCUACAUAACAUUCACAAAUUAGAUCUCGAAACUAAACUAGAUUACCCUCUAAUUAAUCCCAUCUACUUCAUACAACCUGUUAAAUCUCAUAAAUAUUUGAUUAGAAAGAAUAUGCUGGUUCAAAUAUGCGAUUAGCAAAGGUGCCUAUAUUACCCUCUAAUUAAUCCCGUCUACUUCAUACAACCUGUUAAAUCUCAUAAAUAUUUGAUUAGAAAGAAUAUGCUGGUUCAAUUAUGCGAUUAGCAAAGGUGCCUAUAUUAGACUUCGACUAAAGGAAUAAAAGGACAAAAGUGUGCAAAUAGCAUAUAGCACAUCAUUCCACUCAAGUCAUAACACAUCAUUGAAGCAGAAGAAAAAUUCCAGGAAAAGGUUACAGCAAACGAAAACCAACAAAUUGAUUCUCUAAUGCAUCACAAAUGCUAUGAGAAAAAGGAAAAGAGAGCAGUAGCAGCCCAAGUAUGGCACUGCUUAGUGUUAGUGUAAUUAUUUAGCAGAGACAAAUCUGGGUGUGAGCAUAGGCAAUAUAUGGAAAAUUAGCAUCAUUUCGUACUCGAAAAAGCAGUGUCAAAUCAAACAAGAUGAAUAUCAAAUACAUCCAAAAAGAAAAAUGAUGUAGAUCUUUUACUAUCUUGACCUGGCAUCUUGACAGAUCAAAACACUUUAAGCAAGAUGCCCACCAAAAAACAUUAGAUUCAAAGGAAGCAAAGCUUACAUGCUACACAGAAUAAUAUUUCAUAUCAACCUUCUCUAUCAAGAAUUCAGUAAUAUAUCCUUCUUCUCAUAGAGCAUAAAUUACUCUGACUUGCAUGCAUUGUUGUUCAAAAUAAACGCAUAAUUGCAAAAUGAAACGGAACAUCUAUCAAAAAAGAAAAAGGCACGACUAAACACCAAUAAUUGGAAACAUGCCUAACAUCCAGCUCGAAACAACAAAACUGCAAAUUCAUGUUACUCCACUUCUUGAUGUAAAGUAAACUUAAUAUCAGAAAACUUACAACUUUUUCAAGUGACUCAUUGUCAAUUGGUCUUCCAUCUUUACGCGGCUUGUGAGUUUCUAUGAAUAUGUGUGCCCGUGAUGGUUCCGCUCCAUCUUUAGUCUAAAUAUUAAUAUAAAAUAAUAAAUUAUCACAAAAUAAUUUUAGAAUAUUUAAUAUUUUUCAAUCAGAAAAAGUAUAAUAUGAUACCUUCUCAGCAGUCAACCGUGCAAAGCUCUUGGAGCCUGCAGUGUGAGGCAUCUUUUGUUUUCCACGAUUUUCUCGAUUCUUUUCGCUACGUUUCUAAUAUUAUAGAAAAGGGUUAUGAAAAUGUGAUAUCGAUUUCAAUGAGAAAGGACUUAAGUUUCUUAUACCUUUACUUUUUCCGAAUUCCAAAAAGAAACAAGAGUAGUCCAUUGAUCCCUUGGUACCGGCUCCGGUCUAUUUUCUAACAGAUCGUCAACAUUCUUGUAUUUGAGAUAGUACUCCGAUUUCAGGUGACAUUUGUAAUCCUUCCAUUUUUUCCCUAGUGAUUUUAAAACCCACUUUUCACCACGAGUAGGGAUCGAAAACUUCGACUAGAAGAACCAAAAAUAUAAUAUUAGUAAUUUUAAUAUAAUAUUCAAAAUAAAUGUCAUUUACUUUUUAAUUUUUUUACCUUUACUAACUUAAGUAUGUUUUUCUUCUCCUUCACUGGAAAUGAACGCCAAUCUGGAAUAUGUAAUGGCGUUAGAUUGGCAUUUCGUGCAACAAUGCCUAGGAAACUAGCAAGUACACGCCCUUCAGUUCCAACAGCCUGCCAUCGCUUGUUGAAAUCAACAACUAUCCUUUCCUCUUCAGAUAAAUUCCAAAUUUCAGUGAGUAGAGUAGAUCCCCUAACCCUCCUUUGAUCUAAAAAUAAUUUUAAAAUAAAAAAAUAGACAUUAAAAUUGACACGAGCUAAUCCGAAUAAAUGAUAUAACUUCAUUACUCUUUAAGAUUUAAAUUUACCGUCUUGUUCGGUUUCCUCUUCUUGCAGUUCACUAAUCGUUUCCCGAGUAGAAUUUGUAGGUUGAUCCACAGUUUGAGAAUCCACAUCCAUUUGCAAUUGGUCUUGAUUCUGGGGAUGAAUUUUUAUCUUACGAAUUUCUUUUGAUUUCGCCAUAUGGAUCUACAAUAACAUCAUGAAUAGAGUGCUUAAGAAUAUACUUUAUCAUCCAUAAAAAUCUAUAAGAAAAUAUCUACUGUGUACUAUCCUAACAAAAACUAGAUUUAAAGAAAUAUACAACACUUCUGAGUGAAAAAAAAAGCUUACAAUGAGAGAAAAGAUGAACUAUAAGUAUAUAAGUUGGAAGGCUCGAGUUACCAAGGCAUAAACAAAUGAAAGGCAAAUAAAAGGCAAUAAGCAUGAUAUUCAAAAAAAGAUGAUCAACAGUGCCUUAAAGACACGAUUGAUCAACCAUCAAACCAAAUAGUUCUAAUUCUAAAACAUUAAUGUUACUCAACCAAGGCCAUAUUAACAACACAAUUAAAAGACUCUGACUCGCGCAAAUGAAUUAAAAGACUCUGACUCGCGCAAAUGGGGAUAAGUCUUUCCACUGCAAAGCUUGCAUUUUGUAGUGACAAUCCACUUUCGUAUAAAGUUGGGGACAAAACUGAAUGGAGCUACUACAAGGUUCAUCUAUUCAUUAACUUUAUGUAUAUUCACUGAUGUUCAACACAACCAUCUCUCUUGAGACUGCCACAUGAUCUUCUUCUGUGAUGUGUAUAAAGUGAGUAUGCUCUAAUUUAGAGCUCUAAUAUGCUCUAAGUUAGGAGUAAAAGCAAAACUUUUGGAAGCUCGGAUGCCUAUUUCAAAAAAUGCGCCAUAGUCCGAGUAAGGUCUAUACAGUUUUAAAUUAGUGGUUCAGUUUUCUGGGGUUUUACGGGAUUGUUGUGUUUGGUCUUCACGCGAUCUUUAUUUUUGGGUCAAAAUUCUUUUUAUCUCUGACAAUUUUUAUCGUAUUUAGUAGUUUAGUUUUCUGGACUUAUCAUGCUAUGGAAGAAUUGUUUAUAUGCAUUCCCGGUAUUUUAUAGCAUGUUCUCUAGUUUUUGGCGAAUGCUGAGUCAGGUUGAGUAGUUAGUUCUGUAUUGGCUACAAGGAUAGGCCUAGAAUAGUCAUGCUGCUUCUAGAAGUUGGUUUGACUAUUUCUAACUGAACUCCUAAUAGGCACCUGUUAACAUGACCUUUUUCUUACGGAAUACAAACAUGGGCUUAUACCGAUGUUUUUCUUUUGAAAUGUAACAGGUGGUGCUUCCUCUACAGCAGCUGAGAUCUGUUAACCCUUCCACAAGCCAAGCAAAUCUAGCAGGAAAAUAUAUUCAGGUUGUGUCUAUUGACAACCAUGAGUUUUGGUUCAUGGGUUUCGUGAACUAUGACAGUGCCGUGAAAAGUCUGAAGGAGGCUGUUGGUGGCGGUCAGAAUGUGCAACCCUAGCAAUGACUACAUACAUCUACUCUUACUUGUUCAGGUGGUGUCUAUGCUUUAUAUACAGGGUCAUGUUCAGAUUAAAAAUAUCAUUUAUGCUUGAACUUUUUUGGUUAUUCUUAUAUACUUAAAAACAGGGAGGUGUUUGUGUUUUUAUCAUUUCUUUAUUUAAAUGAUUGUUUCUUCUGAUUUGAGAUGUUAUAUAUUAUCAUGCUUGUGAAUAAAUUUACAUGUUUAUGUCACUUUGAUUUCACUCCCGUCCAUGUAUUCUUAUCUUGAAAAGUGGCUUCUAUUAUAGAAAUAUUCAUUUAUCAUGAAAGGUGGCUCUUGUUAAUUAACAUUUUCACUUCACAGAAAUUGAUGUUUCAUUGAAAGCAUACAUUAGGCACUUGAUAUAAUUGAAAAUUAUUAGCUUCUCUAGUUGUCUUCUGGAAUCACCAUUUAUUAAGGUUAAUAGAUUGAAGUUCAGUUCUCAUUUCUCUGUAAGAUAUAGAAAUUCAAAGUUUUGUUCUACUUCAAUAUCUGUUUUAUAUUGGAUCAUGAUUCUGUAAUGAUAUUGCAUUUGGUUUGAUGGUUACUCAAACUUUAAUGUUACUCAUUUCUCUGUAAGAAAAAAAUGGAAAAUCCAUACCACUUUGAGAAGAAGCCUCCGCAAUUUGCUCCUCUGGAUCCCGGACAGCUUUUGCUCCACGGAAUCGCUCACCCUGGCCAACACUCCUGUAGUGAUCGCCUGUUCCAAAGAGAAGCAUCACCAUUAAAGAAAUUGAGAUCGCAGAGAAUCCAAAAAAAAAAAAAAAACCCUUACCUUGGUUCGCAGGGGAUGGAGUUGGAGCUAAUCUUAACAAUUAGAAGCUAAGCUUUUAGAUACAGUUCCAGGGCUAAUCUUAUGCAUCAAUAUGUGCUGCCAACUUAGCACAUGUAUGUUAUACACAUAACAUAGUCACACGGUGCAAAGAUAUUAUAUCAUGAAGAUGACAGCUAAAGCUACAUCAUUCUUGGACUUAGACAUAGUAUAAAUUAGAGAAAUUAUGGGUCAUAAACCGAUAAAAUAUAAUAUAAUAUAAGAUAAUGCACAGAAGCUGAAACUAGCAUUCUUAUGCAAAAAAAGCAAAUGAGUGAAAGGACAAGUUCCUGUCACAAAAAGAGUACAGUUUCAAAUAUAUUGCAUUUGCGUGUAAUGAAGAAUAUGAUUCUUAGCUAAAAAUAAUCGAUCGAUAUGUGAAUUAGUUGAUCCUUUUGUGCCUAGUAAUUAAUUUGGUUACCAUUGCUAGAAAUCUUUUUACUGCUGUUUUAAACUAAACUGCACAUAUUAUUUGGUUACACCAUACAUUAUGACUCAAAUGGUUUGGUUAUGACACCAAUCAGUACAAAAAGGAUGCCAUUAAACUGCAGAAAGAGUAAAUCUAAUGGUUUGGUUAUGACUCAAAUGAACAAAUGAUUCGAAGAUGCAUAUAUGAAGCACUAGAUGAAAUAGAAUCACAUAAACAAUUGCCUUUACACAAUGUCCUGCCAACCAUUCGACAGCCAAAAAUAACAUUAAAAAAAAAAUAGGUAUCUAAACGACAAGUUCUCAUGCUUUAAAUUAAUGUCCCCUCGAUAUCCUUUCUAACACAAGUAAGAUCAUCAUUUUCUUGCUGAAAAUUGUCUACCAAAUCAACCAAAAUGUGAGAAUCUAUUUCCAUCACCCUCUCUACAUCAUCUUGGGAAGACAUCUUUCCCAGAUCAAAUGCCUCCCUAGGUUUCAUUGGCCUAGGUACAAACCAACCAUGGUUUCGUCGAUCUUCAGCAUAUAUCACUUGUUGAGCUUGCGACGCAAACACAAAUGGUUCAUCACUAAGCAAAUUGCCGGUAUGUAUCAAGUGAGAAAAUUUGACGAGUUUGAAUCCUAAUGUAUCUUGCUUUACACCUUUGCCUUGAGUCACAUCAACCCAAUCACAUCUAAACAAAACAACUUUAAAUCCAUCAUAAUAAUUCAACUCUAUAAUGUCUGUUAGUAUGCCAUAAUAGGUGACAUCUCCCAAAAUAGGUCUUGGGUCGCUAGUACUUGCAGAGCUUUGUGUCUUUGCGACCACCAUGACUCCACUAUUCUGAGUGUUCAAGUCCUUCUCAUAUUCUUUGGUUCGAAACCUAUAGCCAUUAUUCACGUCAAAAGCUUGAAACCUUCUUGCAAUGAAAUUUGGACCACGAGCAAGGCAUCUAAUAUCUUCUGUAAUUCGGUCACUAGUUUCAUUAUCCAAUUCGUUAACCUAAACAUCAAAAGGGGGAAAAAAAAAAAUUGUUGGCCCAUAUAGAUGAAUAAUACUUUACAAUUUAAAAUAAUUUUCUAAAAUGUAGAGAAUACUUACACGUUCUCGAUACCAUUCAUAGAACUUUUCACUAUGCAAACGAUCUAUGUCGUGUUGUGCCAAGCGACGUUGCCGAUUUAGUCUGUUGAUUACACUCAAGUGUUCACUACAUUGUGCAAAUAAUAUACGUAAACAACAAUAUAGAAAAACAUUUUUUAUAUAUAAACAAGUUUUUUUUUUCAGUUAUUUACUUACUUUCUGAACGACUCAACAAUUUCAAAAUUGCUAUUAAAGAGAACAUAUCGAUGUGCUUGUGUCCUUAUUUUCUCGUCCAUCAUAAAUGCUUGAAUUUUUCCAUAAGGCAUCCCUACAUUAGGAAAUAUAUUUGAUUCUUGCACCAAGCCAUGUCUAGUAUCUGUACGAUUCCUAAUUGACUGAUUAGACCUUAUCCCAUUAUCUUCCAAAUAUCGUGAACAAAAUACUAAACAUUCUUCUGCAAGAUAUGCUUCUGCAAUUGAGCCUUCUGGGCGUGCUUGAUUGCGUACAUUGGAUUUUAGAGUAAAUAAAAACCUAAAUAGAAAACGAACAUGUUAUAUUCUUCAUUUAUAGAAUAUAUAUCAUAGAAAGUAAACAUAAUAGAUAACUAUUUUACCUUUCAAUUGGAUACAUCCAUCGGUAGUGUACUGGACCAGCUAUUUUAGCUUCACUUGCUAAAUGAACAAUCAAAUGCACCAUAACUGUGAAAAAUGAUGGUGGAAAGAUCUUCUCCAUAUUACAAAGUGUUAGAACAAUUUUUUUUUCAAGCAGCUCAAGCUCAUGGACUUGAAGAAAUUUAGCACAUAGCGCUCGAAAAAAGUUACUAAGUUCAAUCAAAACGAAACUUACUUUCUCGGGUAAAUUUCCACGUAAUGCAAGAGGAAGAAGUUCUUGCAUUAUAACAUGGCAGUCGUGGCUCUUAAGUCCAGAUAAUUUACGCUUCUUAACAACACAUCGUGAUACGUUCGAUGCAUGUCCAUCUGGAAAUUUCACAUGUUCUAAAACUUCACAAAAUAUUUUUCUCUCUUCUCGAUCCAUAGUAAAACAAGCAGGAGGUAAGUAUAUUCUUCCUGAGGAUUGUUCCCGAGGCCAAAGCUCUUCCCUUAUCAUCAUCUCUUGCAAAUCACGACGAGCACUUAAGUUGUCCUUAGACUUUUUCUCAUCAUUAAGCAAAGUAUUAAGGAUAUUGUCGUUUACAUUUUUUUCUAUAUGCAUAAUAUCAAGAUUAUGACGCAUUAAAUUGUACUCCCAAUAAGAAAGUCUGAAAAAAAUGCUUUUCUUUCUCUAUAUUUUUUUACGACCGCCACUGAAAUUCUUAUUCAUCUUACCAAAAGUGAACUGAAGACUAUUUACUUGAUCCAACACUUGUGAACCAGAUAGCGGAAGAGGUGGUGAUCUUAAUUCUUCAGUUCCAUCAAAAGAGCUUCGAUCAUAUCUAUAUUUAUGAUUAGAAUCUAAGAAACGCCGAUGACCCAUAUAGCAGAACUUCUUACCAUGUAUUAAGCGUUUAGAACAAGUUUCCACGUUACAAGACGGACAUUAUCACGCCCCGGGGUCCCUUUUAGUUUAAAACAUAGCGGAAAAGCAUCUGAAAUUUUUUUUUUUUUUUUUUUUUGAAAAGCCUGACCCCAGAGUAUGCCAAAUCCGUCACAAACACAGGGAAUCCACUGUUCACACGGACAGAGUCUCCCCUGUAUUUGCACGGCGUCGCACAAGUACAAGAAGUCACCCAGGCACAACCACAAUAAAUGAACAUACAAACGACCAACAGAUAUAUAUUCAUACACCAUUCACCACAGAUUCAUAUUUAUACAUUCGAUAUUUAAACAUCAAUCCACAUCUAUCAGUUAAAAUGUUUCCAACCACAGAAACAGGUUUUAAAAUACUAAGAUGCAAAAUCCACAGAAAAUCUUUUGAAAACUAUUCCCGACACAGGAACUUUUAUCUUUUCAAAACGCUACCACGAGGGGUAGUAAACCUUUUAUUUUACAAAAUUCACAAACCAGUUUAUUACAUUCAUAAAAACCCAUAUUUUCAAAUGUAAUAAAAAUACUGAACCAUAUAAACACUCUAAGCUAUAUAUCAACAGAAAUAAAAAGGGUAAGAGCUAAACCGAACAACCUGGGUUGGAAGAUCUAUCAACCGCUACGUUCGUAUCUCGCGUCUCGUCCC